GAAAAAUUGGGAAUUUUGAGAGAGAGAGAGAGAAUAAAAGUAGAGGAUAAGGCCGUAGGAGAAAUACCAAUCUUCAUGGACACCCUCUUCGCCCUUCUCUAGUAUAUGAUUUCAAUUUUCAAUGAUGUGAUGUAAUUUGUCUUCAUUUUUCAUUUUUUUUUUUUUUUUUUUUGGAGAGAGACAGAGAGAUAGAGGUCGGAGAGGGAAUCUGUAGCUCAUAUAGAGGUAGUGUUGGGUUUAGGCUUGUGUUGGCUUGUUGGAGAGAUGUCAGGAGGUGGUGGUUGCGGCAUAGUUUGGUUCAGGAGGGAUCUAAGGAUUGAAGACAACCCUGCACUUGCUGCUGGUGUGAGGGCAGGAGCUGUGAUAGCAAUUUUCAUAUGGGCACCGGAGGAAGAGGGUUCUUUCUAUCCUGGCCGGGUCUCAAGAUGGUGGCUGAAGCAGAGCUUGGCUCAACUUGACGCCUCCCUGAGGAGUCUGGGUACUUCUCUCAUCACUAAAAGGUCAAAUGAUAGUGUCUUAUCUCUUGUUGAGGUUGUCAAAUCUACUGGUGCCACUCAUCUCUUCUUCAACCACUUAUAUGAUCCCAUAUCACUUGUAAGGGACCACAGGGCAAAGGAGCUUCUUACUGCUCAGGGCAUAGUUGUGCAUUCCUUUAAUGCUGAUCUUCUCUAUGAACCAUGGGAAAUUAGUGAUGCACAGGGUCGCACCUUCACAACCUUCUCAGCCUUCUGGAACAGGUGUCUUAGCAUGCCUUAUGAUCCAGCAUCUCCACUACUUCCACCAAAGAGGAUAACCUCAGGUGAUGUAUCAAGGUGUCCUUCUGAUAUUUUGGUAUUUGAAGAUGAAUCGGAGAAGGGAAGCAAUGCACUACUUGCACGUGCAUGGUCACCAGGCUGGAGUAGUGCUGAUAAGGCUCUAACAGCCUUCAUUAAUGGGCCUUUGAUUGAGUACUCUGUGAACCGUAAAAAGGCUGAUAGUGCUACAACCUCAUUUCUGUCACCCCAUUUGCAUUUUGGGGAGGUAAGUGUGCGCAAAGUCUUCCAUCUAGUCCGCAUCAAGCAGGUUCUGUGGGCCAAUGAGGGAAACUUAGCAGGUGAAGAGAGUGUGAACUUGUUCCUCAAGUCCAUUGGUCUUAGGGAGUAUUCAAGAUAUAUGAGCUUUAACCACCCUUACAGUCAUGAAAGACCUCUCCUUGGGCACCUAAAGUUCUUUCCCUGGAUUGUUAGUGAAAGUUAUUUCAAGGCAUGGAGGCAAGGUCGAACUGGUUAUCCUUUGGUUGAUGCUGGGAUGAGAGAGCUCUGGGCCUCUGGUUGGCUACAUGACCGGAUACGGGUUGUGGUGUCCAGUUUCUUUGUGAAGGUUCUGCAGCUGCCAUGGAGAUGGGGAAUGAAGUAUUUCUGGGAUACCCUAUUGGAUGCGGAUUUGGAAAGUGAUGCUCUGGGUUGGCAAUAUAUAUCUGGGACUCUCCCUGAUGGUCGUGAGCUUGACCGCAUCGAUAAUCCACAGAUUGAAGGUUACAAAUUUGACCCAAAUGGAGAAUAUGUACGACGGUGGCUUCCCGAACUUGCUAGGCUACCUACUGAAUGGAUUCACCACCCAUGGGAUGCACCAGAGUCAGUACUCCAAGCUGCUGGGGUUGAAUUGGGAUCAAACUAUCCUCUUCCCAUCGUAGGACUUGAUGCAGCAAAAGCCAGGUUGCAGGAAGCUCUUUCAGGGAUGUGGCAGCAAGAAGCAGCUUCAAGAGCUGAAUUUGAGAAUGGAAUAGAGGAAGGGCUUGGAGACUCCUCUGAAUCAGCCCCAUUUGCCUUUCCUGAAGAGCUACAAAUGGAGGUAGAGCAUGAACCAGCUAGGAACAACCCAGCUGCUGCAGUCCGUCGAUAUGAGGAUCAGAUGGUUCCUAGCAUUACUUCUUCACUGCAAAGGGUUGAAGAGGAAGAACCUUCUGUGGAUCUCAGACGUUCAAAUGACAAUAACAGACCAGAAGUGCCAACAACCAUAAAUGUGGGUCCAGAACUUCAGAGAGAAGCACCAAACCAGGGAGGUUUGCAAACAAUUCGAAACAAUAAUAUUCUGCCACAGUUAAACUUUUUACAGUUGCAAAAUGCAGAAGAGUCUACAGCAGAAUCUUCAAGUAGUAGUGGAAGAGAGAGAGAGGGGGGUAUUGUGCCAGUUUGGUCUCCCUCAUCUUCUAGCUACUCAGACCAGUUUGUGAAUGACCAAAAUGGUCUAGGAAGCAGUUCAUCUUACUUGCAGCGACAUCCCCAGUCUCACCAACUGAUGAAUUGGACAUAGCGUUCAAAAUCUAGCAUCUUGUUCAUGCUUAUCUUUUCUGGAUAUUUAAUCUUCAGAGAACCCAAAGAAAAUCUUGCAAAAUAUUUUGACAGUGUUAUCAGAAAAAUGGGCAAGAAUCUGGAAAUUGGACAAUACAAUGCCAUGCCAUUAUUUAAUGUGGUUGGCUAGCGCGAUGGUGGAGCAGCCUCCAUGUGUAUUGUUCUCCAUCACUCUUUUCACCCUCUGGCCUGAUCUGCAGCCUUGCUUAGAAGCUUCUGAAAGCAGAUUUGGACCUGGAACUCGUUAAUUCAUCUCCCACCCUUGUUCUUAAAUUUCCUUUUGUACCAUAUGUAGCCUUGUUGUAUAGUAGUAGUUAACAUCUUUGUAAGGAAAGAGAAGAGUGUGAUGAAAUAGAUGUGUUCCAUAAUAAAUUCAAGAAGGUGUUUUCCUCGUUUUA